rnacentral:rRNA from 1 species
UUAGGUCGACCCGCUGAAUUUAAGCAUAUCAUUAAGCGGAGGAAAAGACACUAACAAGGAUUCCCUUAGUAACGGCGAGCGAACAGGGAAAAGCUCAUAACCGAAUCCCGUGGCGUUACGUCACUGGGAAAUGUGGUGUAUGGGUGUUCAUUUGUGGCAGUGCUCCAAUUCUAAGUCCACGUGAUUGUGGCUAAAAGCCCACGGAGGGUGCAAGGCCCGUAAGGAUUGGAGUAAUGUUUCUGCCGGAUACCCUUGAGUCGGGUUGUUUGGAAAUGCAGCCCAAAGUGGUGGUAAACUCCAUCAAAAGCUAAAUACAACACGAGUCCGAUAGCGAACAAGUACCAUGAGGUAAAGUUGAAAAGAACUUUGAAGAGAGAGUUCAACAGUACGUGAAACCGCUCAGAGGUAAGCGGGUAGAGCUGAAAUUGGUGUGGUGAUUGAAGUCUUCCGUCUUGUGCAUGUGGGUUUGUAGAUUUUUACGAACUACGGCCUAUAUGUUUUUUAUAAUGGUUGGCUGUUUAUCUCAUGCCUUAACCAAGAUCAGCAAAGCGCACGAGUCUAUUGCAGUCGGAGGUACCCAUUGAGUCUCUUUAUGGCUUGAUGGUCUUUAUAACUUCUGUUGUGGAGCUUGUGACGAGCUGUGCAUGGCGGUACAAGUCUUUUGUGACGCACAAGUGGUGACAUGGUUCGGUCUUUUGCUAUGACUCCUUUGGAGUUAUGGAUAAUAAGACUGGGCCAUUGUUACUUCCUCUGUGUAUUGUGCCAACAAUCUUGGUUUCUUUGUAAGCUUUCUACCCGGCCCGUCUUGAAACACGGACCAAGGAGUCUAACAUGUACGCGAGUUAUUGGGUUUUACGAAACCUAAAAGCGCAUUGAAAGAGAAGGUUUACUUUUGUGAACUGAGGUAUGAUCUGUGCACCCACGGGUGUGCGGCGCAAUACCGGCUUGUCUCAUGUUUUUUAAACGAGGCAACGCAAGAGCGUACAUGAUGGUACCCGAAAGAUGGUGAACUAUGCUUGCAUAGGUUGAAGCCAGGGGAAACUCUGGUGGAGGACCGAAGCGCUUCUGACGUGCAAAUCGAUCGUCAAAUGUGAGUAUAGGGGCGAAAGACUAAUCGAACCAUCUAGUAGCUGGUUCCCUCCGAAGUUUCCCUCAGGAUAGCUGGCACUUGGGAAAUAAACAGUUUUAUCCGGUAAAGCGAAUGAUUAGAAGUAUUGGGGACGAAAUGUCCUCAACUUAUUCUCAAACUUUAAAUGGGUAAGAUGUCUCACUCUCUUAAAUUAUGGAGUGGUGACAUUGAAUGUAAGUGCCUAGUGGGCCAUUUUUGGUAAGCAGAACUGGCGAUGUGGAAUGAACCAAAAGCGGUGGUUAAGGUGCCUAAAUAAGCGCUCAUGACAUACCACAAAAGGUGUUGGUUGAUAUAGACAGCAGGACGGUGGCCAUGGAAGUUGGAAUCCGCUAAGGAGUGUGUAACAACUCACCUGCCGAAUCAACCAGCCCUGAAAAUGGAUGGCGGUAGAGCGUUUUACCUAUACCGCGCCGUUACUGUAAGCUUUGUGCUUGGAAACAGUAACGUGUAGGAGGGCAACGUGGUAAGCAUUGAAGCUGCGGAUGUAAAUUCGAGUGGAGCUGCCAUGUGAGCAGAUCUUGGUGGUAGUAGCAAGUAUUCAAGUGAGAUUCUUGAAGACUGAAGUGGAGAAGGGUUCC